AUACGAAGGGUGCAAGCGUUAAUCGGAAUUACUGGGCGUAAAGCGCGCGUAGGUGGUUCAGCAAGUUGGAUGUGAAAGCCCCGGGCUCAACCUGGGAACUGCAUCCAAAACUACUGAGCUAGAGUACGGUAGAGGGUGGUGGAAUUUCCUGUGUAGCGGUGAAAUGCGUAGAUAUAGGAAGGAACACCAGUGGCGAAGGCGACCACCUGGACUGAUACUGACACUGAGGUGCGAAAGGGUGGGGAGCAAACAGGAUUAGAUACCCUGGUAGUCCACGCCGUAAACGAUGUCAACUAGUUGUUGGGUUCCUUGAGAACUUAGUAACGAAGCUAACGCGAUAAGUUGACCGCCUGGGGAGUACGGCCGCAAGGUUAAAACUCAAAUGAAUUGACGGGG
rnacentral:rRNA from 1 species